AUGAAGGAGAUGAUGGUGGGGUCGGUGGCGCCGGUCGGCCCGGUCGGGAGGUGGGGGGCGGCGCCGCCGCAGGAGCUGCUGGAGCGGAUGAAGGACUACGGCCAGGAGGGCGCCUUCGCGCUCUGGGACGAGCUCUCGCCCGAGGACCGCGACCUCCUCGUCCGGGACAUCGAGAGUCUAGAUCUUUCGAGGAUUGACCGGAUCAUUCGACGCUCUAUGGGAUCACAAGGAGGCUAUCUGGCGCCCGCCGAGCCCGUGCCGGAAUCCAGCGUGUCGAGGGUGGAGGAGAGGUCUCCAGAGGACAAAGAACGGUGGUGGAAGAAGGGGCUGAGAGCCAUCUCCGAGGGGAAGCUGGCCGUUGUCCUUUUAGCUGGUGGCCAGGGGACUCGGCUUGGAAGCUCAGAUCCUAAGGGGUGUUUCAGUAUUGGACUUCCAUCUGGAAAAUCACUUUUCCAACUCCAAGCGGAACGCAUUUUGUGUAUUCAAAAGUUGGCUGCUCAGUCCAGUGAUAGUCCAAGAAAUACUUUACCAAUCCACUGGUACAUAAUGACCAGCCCCUUCAACGAUGAUGUCACACGCAAAUUCUUUGAAAGCCGUAAAUAUUUUGGCUUAGAGGCUGACCAGGUGACCUUUUUCCAACAAGGCACCCUUCCAUGUGUUUCUGACGAUGGCAGAUUUAUUAUGGAGACUCCAUACAAGGUAGCCAAGGCACCUGAUGGAAAUGGAGGAGUUUAUGCCGCUCUGAAGUCUAAGAAGUUGCUUGACGACAUGUCUUCACGGGGUGUAAAGUAUGUAGAUUGCUACGGAGUUGAUAACGUAUUGGUUCGUGUUGCAGAUCCAACGUUCCUAGGGUACUUUAUAGAAAAGGGUGUAUCUUCUGCUGCGAAGGUUGUUAGGAAGGCUUAUCCACAAGAGAAUGUUGGAGUAUUUGUUCAAAGAGGUUGUGGUGGACCUCUUUCCGUGGUCGAGUAUAGUGAAAUGGAUGCGGCUAUGACUACUGAAAUUAAUCAAUCAACAGGGCGCCUUCGUUAUUGUUGGAGCAAUGUAUGCUUGCAUAUGUUCAGUUUGGAAUUUCUGAAUCAAGUGGCAAACAGCCUUGAAAAGGACAGCGUGUAUCAUCUUGCACAGAAGAAGAUACCUUCGAUUCAUGGGUAUACAAUGGGCCUGAAGCUUGAGCAGUUCAUAUUCGAUGCAUUCAAUUACUCCCCGUCCAUGACACUUUUUGAGGUGCUACGCGAAGAGGAAUUUGCUCCAGUGAAGAAUGCGAAUGGCUCAGCCUACGACACCCCCGAUAGCGCCAAACUGAUGCUGCUCCGACUCCACAGCAGAUGGGUAGUCGCUGCUGGCGGCUUCCUGACCCAUUCUGUGCCCUUGUACAUGACAGGCGUCGAGGUUUCUCCGCUCAGCUCCUACGCCGGAGAAAACCUGGAGGCGAUCUGCCGCGGACGGACAUUCCACGCGCCCAGUGAGAUCUCGUUCUAG
rnacentral:rRNA from 1 species